CCGCCUGCCCUGUGACAUAAGUUUAACGGCCGCGGUAUCCUAACCGUGCAAAGGUAGCGCAAUCACUUGUCUUUUAAAUGAAGACCCGUAUGAAUGGUAUUACGAGGACUUAACUGUCUCCUUUUUCCAGUCAAUGAAAUUGAUCUUCCCGUGCAGAAGCGGGAAUAUUUACAUAAGACGAGAAGACCCUAUGGAGCUUUAGACACCAGAACAGCCCCUGUCAAGCAUCCCAACAGUAGCGAUGAAACUAAGUGGCCCCUGUCCUAAUGUCUUUGGUUGGGGCGACCUUGGGAAAACAAAAAACUCCCACAUGGACCGGGAGCACCUUGCUCCUACAACUUAGAGUCACAACUCAAAGUGACAGAACCUCUGACCAAAGAUCCGGCAGCCGAUCAACGAACCGAGUUACCCUAGGGAUAACAGCGCAAUCCCCUUUUAGAGCCCAUAUCGACAAGGGGGUUUACGACCUCGAUGUUGGAUCAGGACAUCCUAAUGGUGCAGCCGCUAUUAAGGG
rnacentral:rRNA from 1 species